UACUUAUCAAGAAAGGUGGAGGGAAUGGCCCUGUGAAACCUUAGCAACCCGCCGUAGCUGGAAAAGGUGCUAAUUCCAUCCCAAAGUUUUUGGGGUAGUUAAGUC
rnacentral:ncRNA from 2 species